rnacentral:rRNA from 1 species
UACGAAGGGGGCUAGCGUUGUUCGGAAUUACUGGGCGUAAAGCGCGCGCAGGCGGUCCUUUAAGUCGGGGGUGAAAUCUUGCAGCUUAACUGUAAAAGUGCCUUCGAUACUGAUUGACUCGAGGGAGGUAGGGGCAGGUGGAACUUCCAGUGGAGCGGUGAAAUGUGUUGAUAUUGGAAGGAACGCCGGUGGCGAAAGCGACCUGCUGGAUCUCUUCUGACGCUGAGGCGCGAAAGCUAGGGGAGCAAACGGG